rnacentral:rRNA from 1 species
GACGAACGCUGGCGGCGUGCUUAACACAUGCAAGUCGAGCGAGAAAGCCCCUUCGGGGGUGAGUACAGCGGCGAACGGGUGAGUAACACGUAGGAAUCUACCCUUAAGACGGGGACAACCCAGGGAAACUUGGGCUAAUACUGGAUGAGAGUGCGAGAGAUUGCAUUUAAAAGGAUGGCGAAAGUUGUCGCUUAGGGAUGAGCCUGCGGUCUAUUAGUUAGUUGGUGAGGUAAGAGCUCACCAAGGCGAUGAUAGAUAGGCGGCCUUAACGGGUGGUCGCCCACACUGGGAUUGAGAUACGGCCCAGACUCCUACGGGAGGCAGCAGUCGAGAAUAGUCUACAAUGGCCGGAAGGCUGAUAGUGCGACGCCGCGUGAACGAGGGAGCCCUUCGGGUGUAAAGUCUUUUCUAUACGAGCAGUGCUAUAUAUAUGGAUAGUAUAUAUAGAGGGAUAGUAGUAUAGGAAUAAGACAACGGCUAACUCCGUGCCAGCAGCCGCGGU